UCCCUCAUAGCUCAGUUGGUAAAGAAUCUGCUUGUAGUGCAGGAGACCUGGGUUCGAUCCCUGGGUGGGGAA
rnacentral:tRNA from 1 species